GUCGACUAAAAAUUUCAUUGAUAAACUUGAGGUGUAAACAUGGUAGAAUACAAACACCCAAAAGACGGAGACGACAGCCGGCGGACGACAAGGAUAUCCCCGGAAAAAAAGUCGGAGGAAAACUAGAUUUCCCCGGGAGCGAAACUAACAACUUGAGAUACAACACAAACUUAAAACUGAAAUCGAAAGAGAUUAAACCCUAACACUCAACAAAACCAAACUGACUUAGGACCGAAAAUGAACUAGAACCAAAGAACGCAAAAACGACCUCUUCUCGGCAACAAACCAGCGAAUGAGACUUAUCAAGGCUGCCUACGGCCAACCCGAGCUGAUAACAUCUACCUCUUCCUAUCAAUAUGAGAGGCAAUCUCUCCAAACCGGUAACCAAGACUUCAUAACCCGACAAGCAAAAACCAUAAUUGGAGAACAAGAACGCUUUGCUUUCGGAUACGGCGAGGGCAACAACAGCGCCAGAACAAGAACGAUUUGCAAA
rnacentral:lncRNA from 1 species